GGGGGCGAUUGGUUUCGACGGGCUUUGUGAAAAUAUUGCUGCGCGCCCAGGUUUCCCGGUAACCUGGUAAAACACCUGGAAAAUAACAAUUGCCAAUAACAACCUGGCAUUGGCCGCUUAAGCUUAGCUUAUAGCGCCUGCUCUGGUGCGCCGCCCGCCCGAGGCGGUCCCAGGGUAUCGAUAAGUCGGGCUGGCGGACCACACCGCUUCCGAGUGGCUCGCGAGAUUAAGGAAGAUUGUCUGCCGGCAGACUGGUUGCGUGUCAACCGGUGGAGAGAUCAAACGCAGCCUACGCGCGUAGAAGCAGUGUUGGACUGAGGUUCGGACCGGGGUUCGAUUCCCCGCGCCUCCAUCG
rnacentral:tmRNA from 1 species